GAGCACAGAGAAGCAUUCCGUUCGGAGCGCUGGACUUGUUGUUUCAAAGCAUCAAGUUCCAGGCUAUAACUAUAAACGUUAUAGAAGCUCUGGGGAAAGUCUCCGGACAAAGAGGUAGAAAGUACCAGCCGUAAUGGCCUGCGUCUUAGGUUGGAACCAUUUCUGAAGGAACUCCAAGAACUUGGUAGGGUUUGUGCAACUGACCAAAGCCAAGGCCACUUUUUGUUACGUUCGAUUAGUAUGAAGCGUUCUCUCUUUUCAGAAGACGAGUCACUCUUCAGUGUUCUUGGAUGGAUUGGGAAAGCUCGUACUGAAAGAACAUUGACGAGAAGUGGUCCUACUUUGGGUCGGACCCUUCUUUUGAAGAGUUCGUUGCUUUGCAUCUCUACCAGUUUUCUUAUUAACUCAAGUUCUUUCACUUGAAAAUGGUUUCUUCCACCUAGGGCGCUUUCGUCCAGUUAAAAAAGUUAUGGAAUGGGUUUCAGGUAAGUACUUGUGAGCAGCCCAAUAUCUUGCAAAACUUGAUAUGAUGACACCAACGUUGCCGCCCCAGACCUAUGCCUGAACGGCACUGAGGAAAGGCUGGAUUGGAAUUACCGUCUGACAGUUUUUAACAAAGAGUACAAUCUUCUUUUUUGCUUGAACUAAAAGUUUAUAGGUUGUGAGGCAAAUUCCGUGACACAACCUCGUUACUAACAAAAUGGGGCUUACUCUCUCUGUGCU
rnacentral:RNase_MRP_RNA from 1 species